rnacentral:tRNA from 3 species
GGGGCCUUAGCUCAGCUGGGAGAGCGCUUGAAUGGCAUUCAAGAGGUCAUGAGUUCGAUCCUCAUAGGCUCCACCA